rnacentral:lncRNA from 1 species
CUUGCUCCGCCAAUGUCAGCCGCGGCUAGACCAACCGCUCUGUGAAGUUUAACCUGCAACCACCCGACUUCUUUAAUCUUCUUCCCAGUUUUCUUCAGACCGAACUGUUUUUCGAGUUCCUCGCGUCUGUUAGGCUCCUCGACGUAGGCGUUCAGGUCUGAUUCACAGCCAGGGAUGUCAAUGGCGGUGACGGCGACAUGCAUCACCACCAUACCAGCACCGUCUUCCAGCUCUGCCUCGAUCUUGUGUGAUCUUUCACGUUCGUAUUUUGUCAGAUCGAUGUUCACUCUGAAAUAAAUACAUUUUAUCAAAAGUUUGAAUGAAGGAAUUUUGUUUUAUCUACUGGAUUUUGAUUGGUUGACUAUGUGUUGGGCAUACAGGUCACGUAAGAACCGAAAUUAUAAUUAGACUAGGGAUCCAAGGAUAGUGUGAAGUUUCGAAUUGAAAAGACAAUUCAGGAACUAUAUAUGGUCGCCGACAACCUAGAAAAGCUGAUGGCUUAC